rnacentral:rRNA from 1 species
CGGGUGAGUAAUACAUCGGAACGUGUCUUCUAGUGGGGGAUAACUGCCCGAAAGGGCAGCUAAUACCGCAUGAGACCUGAGGGUGAAAGCGGGGGAUCGCAAGACCUCGCGCUGGAAGAGCGGCCGAUGUCCGAUUAGCUAGUUGGUGAGGUAAAGGCUCACCAAGGCGACGAUCGGUAGCUGGUCUGAGAGGACGACCAGUCACACUGGGACUGAGACACGGCCCAG